rnacentral:rRNA from 1 species
GACGAACGCUGGCGGCGUGCUUAACACAUGCAAGUCGAACGGAAAGGCCCUGCUUUUGUGGGGUGCUCGAGUGGCGAACGGGUGAGUAACACGUGAGUAACCUGCCCUUGACUUUGGGAUAACUUCAGGAAACUGGGGCUAAUACCGGAUAGGAGCUCCUGCUGCAUGGUGGGGGUUGGAAAGUUUCGGCGGUUGGGGAUGGACUCGCGGCUUAUCAGCUUGUUGGUGGGGUAGUGGCUUACCAAGGCUUUGACGGGUAGCCGGCCUGAGAGGGUGACCGGCCACAUUGGGACUGAGAUACGGCCCAGACUCCUACGGGAGGCAGCAGUGGGGAAUAGUGCACAAUGGGCGGAAGCCUGAUGCAGCAACGCCGCGUGCGGGAUGACGGCCUUCGGGUUGUAAACCGCUUUCGCCUGUGACGAAGCGUGAGUGACGGUAAGGGGUAAAGAAGCACCGGCUAACUACG